rnacentral:rRNA from 1 species
AUUGAACGCUGGCGGCAGGCCUAACACAUGCAAGUCGAACGGUAACAGAAAGCAGCUUGCUGCUUUGCUGACGAGUGGCGGACGGGUGAGUAAUGUCUGGGAAACUGCCUGAUGGAGAGGGAUAACUACUGGAAACGGUAGCUAAUACCGCAUAACGUCGCAAGACCAAAGAGGGGGACCUUCGGGCCUCUUGCCAUCGGAUGUGCCCAGAUGGGAUUAGCUAGUAGGUGGGGUAACGGCUCACCUAGGCGACGAUCCCUAGCUGGUCUGAGAGGAUGACCAGCCACACUGGAACUGAGACACGGUCCAGACUCCUACGGGAGGCAGCAGUGGGGAAUAUUGCACAAUGGGCGCAAGCCUGAUGCAGCCAUGCCGCGUGUAUGAAGAAGGCCUUCGGGUUGUAAAGUACUUUCAGCGAGGAGGAAGGUGUUGUGGUUAAUAACCACAGCAAUUGACGUUACUCGCAGAAGAAGCACCGGCUAACUCCGUGCCAGCAGCCGCCGCGG